rnacentral:lncRNA from 1 species
AUGGGAUUGGAAAUGCGAGUUCUCCUUGUGCUUGCCAUGGCUAUAUGCCUCCCCUCCGCCACAUAUGCAGCCGAUGGAACAGCCACUUUUUAUACACCUCCUUAUGUUCGUAAGUAUAUAAUUUUGCCGUUUCGAAUAUAUUAUCAGUAUAAUUUUGCCGUUUCGAAUAUAUUAUCACAAGCUGAAUUAGUUCCUCACAGGAAAACUGGUGUUUUUACACAACCAAUUUUGCCCUGGUGAGGCGACAUGGUGGCUCAUGAGUCAUUCUUUAACCUAAUAUGUUCUCAAUGCUCCUGCUGGUAUUCUUAACAUCAGCUCAAAACUCCUGCUGGUAUUCUUAUGCUAGAGCAACGUAACGAAGAUGGCCUUCAUGGCUGCUAUCUUUUCUUUAAGCUGACGUACAAAGCUGCAUUAAUCUGAGUAUUACAUUAAUUUCUUAAUUAGGUUUCAAAGAGUAGGAGAAAUUUGUUUAAUCGAGUGUCCUAUAUCUUUCGGAAUGAUUCAAUUAGUGUGUUUAUUCGAAACAAUUUCAACCUGUGUCAGUUUCAUAUGAGUUUUAUAAUAUAAAUUGAUGAGGGUUUAGUAAAAUGUUUAAAAGGCUUGAAAUUUUACCAUUUUACCCUCUUAAAUAUAAUGCAAUUGUUUAUAUGUAUAUAAGAAAAUGCUAGGCAUAGCACAUGUGUUUGUAUAUAUGUAUAUAGGAAAAUGCUAGGCAUACCAUAUUUAUAUACCACCUUGUGUACCACUUCUUUAAUAGAGGCGAGCCCCAUUGUAUUGGUAUGCUCUACUAAUGCAAUUGUAUUUAGAGCACUUCCACCCAUGGUGCCAUGGCAAGGGGCAGACAUUAUUCAUAUGAAUAUUGACUACCCACCCUAUGCUGUUUUAUUUUGUUUUUCCACCUAUUGUCAUGGUAAGUAAAGGCAAACACUAUUCACAUGAGAUAUGAGGAGAGGAAUUUGUAUGGAGUUUUAGUGUGAGAAGUGAAGAACAUAGUUAGGUAUUUAUAGAAGAAAAAAAAAUUACAAAUAUUUUGGUAUUUUUUUCCUUUUUACGUCAACAUGAGAUCAAUUAACCCGCAGCAACUCAGGCAAUUCUUACUUUUAGGCUGACUUCGGUAAAUGGGGUCCAUUUUUGCCAAGGUUGCCUUUCAUUGAUGGGGGGCUUGUUCCAAGUCUGGGCAACAAUGUUUUGCUGAAUAGGUCAAAAUGUUGCAUUAUUAAAAUGUUGAGAUGCACCUCACAUUAGUAACUGUCAACGGGACCAGCCUAAUGGAAAAUGGCCUUGAUUUGCAGACUAUAGGUCUCAAGUUCGAACCCGUGUAUGUGUAUGAAACCCCCCUCCCUCUCUAGUUUAGACUAUCACUUAUAAUAAAAUAAAAUAAAUUAUUAACUAAAAAUGACUGGUAACUAGAGAAUGUCUAUACGUGUCUAUGUAUAUCACAUGUGAACAUAGGAGAAUUAUGCGAAAAUCCUUUUUUCAGUCUAUUUUCAAUGAUAUAGGUUAUCUUCACAUGAUCAUCUUUGCAGAAAAUUAACAAAAUCAAAAGCUUUUUCGCCAUUGAAUACCAUCAAAAUCACUUCAGUUCUAACUGGCAGACUGCAUGUGUUCCUAAGUUUAGAUGGCCUAAAAAUUACAUAUUUGGACAAUAUUUGUAUCAAAGAUUAAGGAGCAAAUCAUAUGUGUCAAUUUUAAUCAUUGAAUUGCAUUACAGGGUGGUCCCAAGACGAUUCUUAUUUUAUUGAGCUCAUUUUGUGGAGCUGCCCUUGUGUAAAUGGCAAAUCUGCACCCCUUGAGGUUUUUGGCUUUUUCACAAAACCCCUUAAGUUUACUCUAAUAUUUUCUCAUGUUUUCGGCUCUUUUUGAGUUAUUUACACUAACACUCUCUCAUGUUUUAGAUUGUUUUCACAAAGUCCUUUUUUGUUGAUUGUUCUUCCAAAACUUGAUGAUUUCAUAUUUUUUUUUUUUAAAGCAAAUGAUAAAAUCAAUCUCAAUGAAUAUAUGUGCAAUCUAAUAUGAAAGCCUAACUUUGUCAUUUGGAGAAAUUUUUAUAUGAAAUCAUUAAUUUUUGGACGAAAAACCAACGAAAAAGGGUUUUGUGAAAACAAUUUAAAACCUCAGAGGAUGUUAGUGUAAUUUUUGAAACAUCAAGGGAUUUUUUGAAAAAGCCAAAACUCGUAAUGUUUCAUCUUUAAUGGAAUCUCUUUAAUAAGUCAAAUCUAAAAUUUUAUUCAUUUGAUUACCAUCUAAUGAUUUCACUAUAUUAUUUGUUGGACUAUGUUUUUUAUACUGUUUAGAUCACCAAAUAGUUAACAUUGGGCUAAUUUUGUACUGAACUUAUCCAUAACUGGUGACCUAAGAAUAAAACUGUUAAUUAAGGUCAUUGAGUUGCUAAGGGUGGCCCAAGAGAGAAUGUUGGCAUGUAUCUUAAAAUUCUAAUGAGUGUUGUUAUUUCCACACCAUGUUCUAUUUCUUCAUUCACCUUAUCUUCCCACUCAUUAUGUAAAUUUGAAAAAACAUAAUCCUUUCUUUCCACCCACCAUUAUUUUUAAAAUACUCAUUAUUUUUCCACCCACCAAGUAAAUAAUAAUAAUAAUAUAUUAUUAAAUAAAUUAAUAAACAAUAUAAAAUACUCAAACAAACAAAAAAAGACUCUCACAACCCCCACCCACACCGCCCCCCCCACCCCACCCCACCCCCACCAACAUGGGGGAGAGAGAGAGAUAGAGGAGGGAAAAUAGAGGAGGAGGGCCGAGCGGGUGGGUGGAGGCGAAGAGACAGAGGGUGGGGUGGAGUUAAUCUUUUUAGUUUUAUUUAUAAUCUUUUUUGUAAAAAAAAAUUUUCUCUAAAUUCUUUGAAGUUAUUUUUUAAAUAGAUAAAUUUAUCUUUAAUAUUUUGAAAAUAAGGUAGGUGGAAAAAUAGAACAAAAUGUGGAAAUAACAACCCUCAUUCUAAUAUCACUGCAUGCGUGCACAUACCCAGCUAAUAAAUUAUAAAAAUAAAAAAUAAAAUCAUCCUCUACCUGUACGUAGAAGGUGCAUGGAGGUGUAAAAGAUGGCGGAACUACACUAUGGGCUGCAAUGGGGCAUAACCCAGAGUGGUUUUAGGGGGAAAAAAAUCAAACCUAUAUAUUUGAUUUGAUUUAAAUACAUGAUAGUAUGUAUUAACUUAUUAAAGUCCAAAAAAUUCAAUUCUUUAUGCAUUUAGUUGCUGGGCAAUAAUAAAAAUACAAAUUAAAAUACGUACACUUUGAAUUAUGUUGAUAUAUUCAAUUUUAAUAAUAUGUGUUUUUUGGUUACUUUUAAUAUGUAUUUAUUUUAUAUUAAAGCUUAUUAAAAAUUAAUUAAAAAAACUAUGAAGUAGAGUGAUUUAUAUGAUUUAAUGUAUACUUUUAUUUCUAGAAAAACUAUAAUAAAAGAAAAAUAUAUAUAUAUCAUUAGAUUAAUUUUAAAAUAAUAAAUUUAGCUAGCUCACCCAUUGAUAAAUCUACCUAUAAAUAUUUCAUGAAGACAAACAUUAUCCAAGUUGAUCCUAUAUCCUUAAUUAUACAUCCAUUAAUAAUUUUCUGGUUGACGUGCAGCCUCCUCAUGCUACGGAUACCAAAAUGAUGGAGUGAUGAUAGCCGCAGCAAGCGAUGCCAUUUGGGGCAACAGAGCAGCUUGUGGAAGAAGGUACAGAGUGACAUGCACCGGAGCCACUAACCAAGGUGUCCCACAACCUUGCAAGGGAACCAGCGUUGUCGUUAAAAUUGUCGACUACUGUCCUCCCGGAUGCAGAGGAACCAUUGAUCUCUCUCAAGAGGCCUUCACCGUCAUUGCUAACCCCAACGCCGGAAAAAUCAAGAUUAGUUAUACUCAG